rnacentral:rRNA from 1 species
UAUCUCUGUAGAGUCUGCAUAUCAAUAAGCGGAGGAAAAGAAACUAACAAGGAUUCCCUUAGUAACGGCGAGUGAAGCGGGAAGAGCUCAAAUUUGAAAUCUUCAAGGUUCUACCUUGACGGAUUGUAGUUUAAAGAAGUGUUUUCUGUAGAUGAGUAGCAAAAGUUCCUUGGAAUGGGACAUCAUAGAGGGUGAGAAUCCCGUAUUUGGUUAUUCAUUCUAGCUUUGUGAUACACUUUCAAAGAGUCGGAUUGUUUGGGAAUGCAGUCCAAAAUGGGUGGUAAAUUUCAUCUAAAGCUAAAUAUUGGCGAGAGACCGAUAGCGAACAAGUACCGUGAGGGAAAGAUGAAAAGAACUUUGAAAAGAGAGUUAAACAGUACGUGAAAUUGUCAAAAGGGAAGCGUUUGACACCAGUGUUGUUUUUCCGAAAAUCAAUUACGAAUGGCUUGAUUUUGUGUUGUAUUGACCUUAUCAGCUUUCUUCACUUUUUUCGAGUCUUUCUUAAUGCACUUUUCGGUUAACAAGUCAACAUCAAUUUCUUUUGUUGUAAAAGAGUAUUCGGAAGGUGGCUUUCUUUUCGGAGAAAGUGUUUAUAGCCCUAUACUUCUACAAUCGGAGAGAUUGAGGUCUGCAGCGUAGAUCCUUCGGGGUUAGAUACACUUGUGCUAAGUUGUAGCUUUUCAUAGACAACUUGUUGACUAUGUUUAGUCAUGCGGCUUACUCGCUUGUGCUAUUUUACCUACGCUUAGGAUGUUGACUGAUAUGUAGUCGUA